GGGGGUUUACGGGUGUUUGCUAAGUCAAAUGGGUGGACAGACAAAGCUGUAUUCAGUUUACUGUGUCAAAUUUUAAAUCACCCUUACAGUUUUAUUUAUACAACAUGUGAAUUUUCAUUUCAGUGUUAACCAUGUUCUGAAGAGCAGUCUGUUGAAAAAUCUUAUAUGUGAAUUGGUCUGCAGAUGACACUUCAGCAUUAAAGUAUGUAUCAACUAAUGUCAUGUUUUUUUGUGUUUUGGUCGCAAAAGUUUACAAUUUGCCAUUGUGCCGUCUGCAUUUUGCACUGACAAAACAUCAUCUAAACACUUAUUUGUCCUGGAUUUAUACACAUC
rnacentral:lncRNA from 1 species